rnacentral:sRNA from 1 species
GCACGCCUUUCCUCCCGCUCGGUGGUUA